AUGGUGGUGCAACGGCUGGCAACAACGUGUCUGAAUGCCAUGGGCAGAUGGGUGACAGUGAUAUACGUCCUACAUAGAUGUAUGAUUUCGUCUCUUCCACUGGAUUAUGAUGAAAUUAAGGAUCAAGUAUCAUAUGCAUGCAUGAUAGCUACAUACAGUUUUUCUGUACAAAUGGUGUGUUGCACUGCUAUUUUGUUGAAAAGACAUUAUCUUGCAGAUCCUUUUAUUUCAUUGUUUCUUUCCCUUAUAAUAUUUAUUGAUGAUUUGGUUGAUUUCUUGACUAGAGGAUUUGAAGAUACAAAUAAUUGGCUAGAAGUAUAG
rnacentral:rRNA from 1 species